UAAAAUAAAAGCGCAAGCAUAUAUUGAAAAAAAUAAUAAUAUUUUAUUCUUUGCAUGAAAAAGAGUAUAUAAAAGAUAGAGUCAGGGAAAACAAAUCUGAUUCACAAAAGAAAUCAUCUCCUUCCUGAGACGCAAGAGUUUAGCCUUGCAUGGUGUUAAGUCCUCUUGCUUCUAGCAUCUUCAUCUUCUGGAACUCCAAACUCCUAAAUUUGUUGCUCUCCUUUGAAUGAAAAGACGGAAAAAAAAGAAAGAAAAGUUGUGUGGAAGAGAGGAAGAAGAGAAGAAGGAAGGAGGAAGAGAGGAUUGAAAGGAGAGGCGCGAGAGAGAAAAAGGAGAGAGGGGGAAUGCCUAGGGCUUGAUGAGAGAAUCUGGAGGAGAGGGGGGCAUUAAAAAUCUUCAGAGAAAGGAGACGUGGAGGCUUAUUUAUAGAGGAUGGAGUGGGCAUUAGGUAUUUGGGGGCGUGUAGAAGUUGGGAGCGUGGAGGAGUCCUGGGGCACUAAAAUACUUGGAAUUGGAGGGCCUAUGUGGACUUUGGAAGAGUUUUAGCAUGGAAAAGUCAAGGGAAAGAAUAAGAGUGGGGGCCACGAUGAAGAGUGGAAGGGAGGAGAUGCUAAAAGUUAGCGUGAAGGCUUUAGCAUGAGCUUUUUUUUUUUUUGGACUGGCGAGCACGUGAAAGGGUAUUUGCGAAAAAGAUGGACAGCAAGGAAGGAGGGGCACGUGGAGUUUAUUCCAUGAGAAAUCUUUGAGAGGAGUCGCGCAUGAAAGCUCUUGGAUGACUUGGGGUGGUGUGAAAGAGUGGAGUGCAUGAGAUUAGGAGAGAGUUUUAUUAAGGGAGGGAAUUUUGGAGUAUUUUUUUCCUAGCCAUUGAUUGCACGUUCAUCCUUGAGCUGGUUGCACUUGAUCCAUUAGUUCUUGAGUAUUUCUUUGGGUUUGAACCAGUUUGAAUCUUGAUCAGCCCAAUCCUCCAAUUAUCUGCAAAAUAGAUUAAGAAGCAUCAAAUUUUCAAUAAUAAUGAUCAAUUAAUAACAAAUCAGGUGCUU
rnacentral:lncRNA from 1 species